CUCUCUUCUCCCUGUCUCUCCCUGUGAUGCUGUGACAUAAGGUCUGGUUCCUGGGUGCUGAGACACAAGGCCUGGUUACUGGGUCCACUAAUAUAAUAUACUUUAGGGUGUAUUGACUCACUCAUCAGUAUUGCCAGGAUCUCAGAGGAUCUCAGUAUUGAGAUCCUGUGAUAUUUUGCCCUUAGUUUCUGAAUCGCCUUAGUGUCUGAAUCGCCUUAGUGUCUGAAUCGCCUUAGUGUCUGAAUCGUCUUAGUGUCUGAAUCGUCUUAGUGCCUGAAUCGUCUUAGUGCCUGAAUCGUCUUAGUGCCUGAAUCGUCUUAGUGCCUGAAUCGUCUUAGUGUCUGAAUCGCCUUAGUGUCUGAAUCGUCUUAGUGUCUGAAUCGAAGGUUUGAAUAUGCAGGUUUUGUCUGUAAUUCUGUGAUAAUGAUUUUUGACCAAUGGGAACAUUAUUUUGUGUGAUCACAUUGGUGUGACUGUUCGCAUCUGUCUCUCAACUGUCAAUUACACGAUAGAUAAAAUGUUCAUUCUCACACUCUCUCUUUCCUCUUCCUCUCCUCUCGCUCUCAAUUCAAUUAAUUCUCUCUCUCUCCUCCAGAGAGGUGGAAGGUGAGUUGGAGGUGGUGUGGGAGGCAGCGACCAGAGAGAACCAAAGAAUUAGGGAGACCCUCCAGGACUCCAGCCCAUCUCUCCCCUCCCUCAGCCCAGCCAGAGUGCACCAUGGCAGGGGUCUGAGCGAUGGACCCUCCCCCAGCUGGCUCUCCCACCCCCAGGAUGAGGUGUUCUACCCCCGUCCGCACCCUGACAGCUCUGGCCCUCCUCCCUGCAUCUCCUCUCCCCAGAGCGGCGGCCGGCCCGGCCUCCACCACAGCCCUAUGUUCGAGUCUGACUCGGACCAGCACCAGAACCCCUCCUCAGAUGAGAGCGAGAAGAACGGCAUGGACUUCUAUUCUUAGUGUCCUUUUUGUAUUGGUCUUACAGAAGACAAGUAGCCUGGUCCCAGAUCUGUUUUAGUAGCCUGUUUUAGUAGCCUGGUCCCAGAUCUGUUUUAGUAGCCUGGUCCCAGAUCUGUUUUAGUAGCCUGGUCCCAGAUCUGUUUUAGUAGCCUGGUCCCAGAUCUGUUUUAGUAGCCUGGUCCCAGAUCUGUUUUAGUAGCCUGGUCCCAGAUCUGUUUUAGUAGCCUGUUUUAGUAGCCUGGUCCCUGAUCUGUUUUAGUAGCCUGGUCCCAGAUCUGUUUUAGUAGCCUGGUCCCAGAUCUGUUUUAGUAGCCUGUUUUAGUAGCCUGGUCCCUGAUCUGUUUUAGUAGCCUGGUCCCAGAUCUGUUUUAGUAGCCUGGUCCCAGAUCUGUUUUAGUAGCCUGGUCCCAGAUCUGUUUUAGUAGCCUGGUACCAGAUCUGUUUUAGUAGCCUGGUCCCAGAUCUGUUUUAGUAGCCUGGUCCCAGAUCUGUUUUAGUAGCCUGGUCCCAGAUCUGUUUAAGUAGCCUGGUACCAGAUCUGUUUUAGUAGCCUGGUCCCAGAUCUGUUUUAGUAGCCUGGUCCCAGAUCUGUUUUAGUAGCCUGGUCCCAGAUCUGUUUUAGUAGCCUGGUCCCAGAUCUGUUUUAGUAGCCUGGUCCCAGAUCUGUUUUAGUAGCCUGGUCCCUGAUCUGUUUUAGUAGCCUGUUUUAGUAGCCUGGUCCCUGAUCUGUUUUAGUAGCCUGGUCCCAGAUCUGUUUUAGUAGCCUGGUCCCAGAUCUGUUUUAGUAGCCUGGUACCAGAUCUGUUUUAGUAGCCUGGUCCCAGAUCUGUUUUAGUAGCCUGGUCCCAGAUCUGUUUUAGUAGCCUGGUCCCAGAUCUGUUUUAGUAGCCUGGUCCCAGAUCUGUUUUAGUAGCCUGGUCCCUGAUCUGUUUUAGUAGCCUGUUUUAGUAGCCUGGUCCCUGAUCUGUUUUAGUAGCCUGGUCCCAGAUCUGUUUUAGUAGCCUGGUCCCAGAUCUGUUUUAGUAGCCUGGUCCCAGAUCUGUUUUAGUAGCCUGUUUUAGUAGCCUGGUCCCAGAUCUGUUUCUGCUCUUGCUAACUCCAUUGUUCAUUGUCAAGCCAAACAUGACAUGACAAUUCCAUAAAGAGUUGGCAGGAGAGUAGAACCACCCUGACACCAGGCUAGAAGACCAGGUCUGUAAUGGUCAGACUAGAACCACCCUGACACCAGGCUAGAAGACCAGGUCUUUAUUGGUCAGACUAGAACCACCCUGACACCAGGCUAGAAGACCAGGUCUGUAUUGGUCAGACUAGAACCACCCUGACACCAGGCUAGAAGACCAGGUCUGUACUGGUCAGACUAGAACCACCCUGACACCAGGCUAGAAGACCAGGUCUGUUUUGGUCAGACUAGAACCACCCUGACACCAGGCUAGAAGACCAGGUCUGUUUUGGUCAGACUAGAACCACCCUGACACCAGGCUAGGAGACCAGGUCUGUAUUGGUCAGACUAGAACCACCCUGACACCAGGUCUGUAUUGGUCAGACUAGAACCACCCUGAUACCAGGUCUGUAUUGGUCAGAGUAGAACCACCCUGACACCAGGUCUGUUUUGGUCAGACUAGACCCACCCUGACACCAGGCUAGAAGACCAGGUCUGUUUUGGUCAGGCUAGAACCACCCUGACACCAGGCUAGAUGACCAGGUCUGUUUUGGUCAGACUAGAACCACCCUGACACCAGGCUAGAAGACCAGGUCUGUAUUGGUCAGACUAGAACCACCCUGACACCAGGCUAGAAGACCAGGUCUGUAUUGGUCAGACUAGAACCACCCUGACACCAGGCUAGGAGACCAGGUCUGUAUUGGUCAGACUAGAACCACCCUGACACCAGGUCUGUAUUGGUCAGACUAGAACCACCCUGACACCAGGCUAGAAGACCAGGUCUGUUUUGGUCAGGCUAGAACCACCCUGACACCGGGCUAGAUGACCAGGUCUGUUUUGGUCAGACUAGAACCACCCUGACACCAGGCUAGAAGACCAGGUCUGUAUUGGUCAGAGUAGAACCACCCUGACACCAGGCUAGAAGACCAGGUCUGUAUUGGUCAGACUAGAACCACCCUGACACCAGGCUAGGAGACCAGGUCUGUAUUGGUCAGACUAGAACCACCCUGACACCAGGCUAGAAGACCAGGUCUGUAUUGGUCAGACUAGAACCACCCUGACACCAGGCUAGAAGACCAGGUCUGUUUUGGUCAGACUAGAACCACCCUGACACCAGGCUAGAAGACCAGGUCUGUAUUGGUCAGACUAGAACCACCCUGACACCAGGCUAGGAGACCAGGUCUGUAUUGGUCAGACUAGAACCACCCUGACACCAGGCUAGAAGACCAGGUCUGUAUUGGUCAGACUAGAACCACCCUGACACCAGGUCUGUUUUGGUCAGACUAGAACCACCCUGAUACCAGGCUAGAAGACCAGGUCUGUAUUGGUCAGACUAGAACCACCCUGACACCAGGCUAGAAGACCAGGUCUGUUUUGGUCAGACUAGAACCACCCUGACACCAGGCUAGAAGACCAGGUCUGUUUUGGUCAGACUAGAACCACCCUGACACCAGGCUAGAAGACCAGGUCUGUUUUGGUCAGACUAGAACCACCCUGACACCAGGCUAGAAGACCAGGUCUGUUUUGGUCAGACUAGAACCACCCUGACACCAGGCUAGAAGACCAGGUCUGUUUUGGUCAGACUAGAACCACCCUGACACCAGGCUAGAAGACCAGGUCUGUAUUGGUCAGACUAGAACCACCCUGACACCAGGCUAGAAGACCAGGUCUGUUUUGGUCAGACU